rnacentral:lncRNA from 1 species
GAAGAGAUUGCCCCAAAGAGGAGAUUUGGGUCUAUGGGGACGCCGGUUUCUGUCAAUGGACUGGAAGGAGAGGCGCGACGCCUCCACAUUUCCGUCGGGAGUUCGGAACAGGAGGAUCUCCGGGUGUGUUGAUGCCGUUCUUGAGGCACACGGCUUCACCUUGCAGAAGAGGAACGAUUUGGAAGGAUGAGGUUUCGUAGCUCCAGCUUGCUGGCUUCCUUCUCUGGAAACCGACUGACGUCUCCAAACGGUGAAUCUCUUCGCCAGAGGGCUCUUUCGUCUGUGUUGUACAGUCAGUUCUGGGACUUUGUUUGUUAAGUUCCUGCCAGAUUUGUGUACAGCAGACACGGCAACUUCUUUGUACCCAUCCACGUUGGCGGUUCGGGUGCCGUUCUCUCAAUAACGAACGCGGUCUGCCGGCUCAGCAUAAGCGUAGAACUGAUCCGGGAGAAUGUGUAGAAGAUAGGAGAUACAAGUUUUUUCGAGCUCACCGAAGAUGAGUCAACCAACGCUGAAUUGUGCCGACCAGAACCACCAGAUCGAAUUUGCGGAGUCUGCGUUUGGAUCACGUGUCGCGUACACCCUGAACGCAGAUUCACGGGGAAAGGGGAUACGAUACAUGCAGAAACAGGUCGCAGUCCACACGGCUGCUCGGCAGUUCGGAUUCACGUAUAGCUUCACCUGAAGCCGGGGGAACACGCUCUCGACCAAGAGACAGCAUUUGCCUCUCAGCGUCAACCAUACGAGCUGGCACAAGGAGUCUGUGUUUUUGGUAACGAUUCACAGAAAUGCAGUCGGGGAAUGGCUGAUCACUUGGGCCGGCAGAGCGUGGUCUUCGUGGCGUUUUUGUACGGAGCGCUGUUCCACUAGUGGACAGUACGAACCUCGAGGCAAAGAACUCGGUAUUCUGGCCAAAGUAUGUUGAAAGCUAAUCUUGUCAGGUCUACACUGAUGCACUGAGCUCUGGGCAGUCCAUGGGUCCCGUUUUCGUCGGAAGCGUGCGGCUUUGGGGGGACUUUGUGUGUCAGCACGCUCGUUCUCAAAGCUUGCUCGAGUAGGCCUUGCUGUCCCAGCUUUUUCGGAGAAAACAUGUGGUGAGACUUUUUGUUUUGACGGGUACUCGCCAACAGAUUCACCUUUCGAUUGGCUGCCACAUUGCCGGGGCACACUUGGGGGCGAAAACAAGUAUUGUGUGAGUUCAAGAACAGAACAACUUUCCCUUUGAAUCAGGGGCGACUGUCCGCGAAAAAUACGGGUUGUCUGGUCCUUCUCCGCUACGGGUAAGCUAGUUGACGAGUAGCUGUUCGACUCUAAGUGGUUGGCGUGCACUCAUCUGUGUUUUUGUGCCUUUUCAACGUCGUGUUACGUGCCGAAGGUCCUGACAGCCACC